rnacentral:rRNA from 1 species
UGGGGAAUUGUUCGCAAUGGGCGCAAGCCUGACGACGCAACGCCGCGUGGGGGAUGAAGGUCUUCGGAUUGUAAACCCCUGUCGAGCGGGACGAAUAGCCCGCGACCUAAUACGUCGCGGGAAUGACGGUACCGCUCAAGGAAGCCACGGCUAACUCUGUGCCAGCAGCCGCGGUAAUACAGAGGUGGCAAGCGUUGUUCGGAAUUACUGGGCGUAAAGGGCGCGUAGGCGGCCCGCUAAGUCGAACGUGAAAUCCCCAGGCUCAACCUGGGAACUGCGUCCGAUACUGGCAGGCUUGAAUCCGGGAGAGGGAUGUGGAAUUCCAGGUGUAGCGGUGAAAUGCGUAGAUAUCUGGAGGAACACCGGUGGCGAAGGCGGCAUCCUGGACCGGUAUUGACGCUGAGGCGCGAAAGCUAGGGGAGCAAA